AACGUAGGACACAAGCGUUAUCCGGAGUUACUGGGCGUAAAGAGCGCGCAGGCGGUCGUUCAAGUCGAGUGUGAAAGCCCCCGGCUCAACUGGGGAGGGUCAUUCGAUACUGAUCGACUCGAAGGCAGGAGAGGGUAGUGGAAUUCCCGGUGUAGUGGUGAAAUGCGUAGAUAUCGGGAGGAACACCAGUGGCGAAGGCGACUACCUGGCCUGUUCUUGACGCUGAGGCGCGAAAGCUAGGGGAGCAAACGGG
rnacentral:rRNA from 1 species